rnacentral:rRNA from 1 species
AUUGAACGCUGGCGGCAUGCUUUACACAUGCAAGUCGAACGGCAGCACGGGGGCAACCCUGGUGGCGAGUGGCGAACGGGUGAGUAAUGCAUCGGAACGUGCCCUGUCGUGGGGGAUAACACAUCGAAAGAUGUGCUAAUACCGCAUACGACCUGAGGGUGAAAGCGGGGGACCGUAAGGCCUCGCGCGAUAGGAGCGGCCGAUGUCUGAUUAGCUAGUUGGUGGGGUAAAGGCCUACCAAGGCGACGAUCAGUAGCUGGUCUGAGAGGACGACCAGCCACACUGGGACUGAGACACGGCCCAGACUCCUACGGGAGGCAGCAGUGGGGAAUUUUGGACAAUGGGGACAACCCUGAUCCAGCCAUGCCGCGUGCGGGAAGAAGGCCUUCGGGUUGUAAACCGCUUUUGGCAGGAACGAAACGGUGCGGGCGAAUACCCUGUGCUAAUGACGGUACCUGCAGAAUAAGCACCGGCUAACUACGUGCCAGCCGCCGCUGUAAAAC